AGGUGAUGAAUAAAAAUGAUAUAAAGAAGCAAUGAACGUUCAAUGUUUUAUAUUUAAAAUACGUUUUGUGAGGAAAACAAUGUGGCAUAGAAACAGGACUGAAAGGUUCUCCAAGAUAAUGCCAGCGACUGCAAGAUGUCAGCAGCAUUGCCAUCCAUUCUCUCUCUCCAAAGGAAAGAGGAGUCAGAAGUAUCAGCAAUAUAAGCACAUGAAAAAAACUGUUGUAAAUGGUGACCUCCUGGUGGAUGGAUGUACAGACCAGGCGGGACUGAGCUGUGAGAGAGGAGGGGUUCAGACAGCAGUGUUCCCGUGUGCUGCACGCCGACCCAACGCCAGCAGCUCUGUAAGCGGCCAUUUGCAGAGAAUCAUAAUACUUGGAAGCGAGAGCAAGAAGGA
ensembl:lncRNA